UGCUUAGCCGUAAAAAAUCUACUCACACCACUUCCGCCAGGGUAUUACGAGCAAAAGCUUAAAACCCAAAGGACUUGACGGUAUCCUAUCCACCUAGAGGAGCCUGUUCUAUAAUCGACACCACCCGAUACACCCCACUGUUUUUUGCAUAUCAGCCUGUAUACCUCCGUCGUAAGCUUGCCAUAUGAAUGAUCUAAAGCAAGCCUAAAGAUAUAUCCACCUUAACGUCAGGUCAAGGUGCAGCCCACAAAGCAGUAAGAAAUGGGCUACAAUUUCUAUGUUAGAACAAACGAAAGGCUACAUGAAAUCCAACCAUGAAGGCGGAUUUAGUAGUAAAAAGAAAAUAGAGAGUUCUUUUUAACCAGGCACUGGGACAUGU
rnacentral:rRNA from 1 species